GACGCCGUGACCUUGGCCGGCCCGCUCACCUCUCGGAAUCUCGCCUGCCGGGACCGCGAAAUGGGGGCGACCGCGGCGUCCCUCUCCGUCGGCGCAGCCCUCGACGGCGCUUGGGUUUGACCCCGGCGCGCUUGCUCGCCCCUUCUCCCGAGAAGGGGUUUCGGAGGAGCAGAGGUUUAAUAGGCAAGAGAAAGAGAAAGGAAAACAGCUCUCUCUCUAAUGAGAGAGAGGGGACUUCGGAGAGGAAAAGAGGACAGGAGAUACGGCAAUCGUGGAUAGGAAAGGAGGAAAUUACGAUAGAAAAGUUGGAGAUCCUUUUGCUAACACCCCUUUGGGCAGUUGGAUGCUGAGUUCCAGGAUACACGUGCCAGAUCUGCAGGUUUGUUACACAGAUCUAUCCAUACUAAUGGAAAUGUAACUGGAACUGACUCUGAUGAUAAAAUCAAGGACCAUCAAGCAAGAUCAUGCAGUAGGCAACUUUGCUUCCAAAAGAAGUUACCAACAUUUAGAAUUUCUACUUAUUCUGAGGUUCCAGUU
rnacentral:lncRNA from 1 species